UACAGAGGUGGCAAGCGUUGUUCGGAAUUACUGGGCGUAAAGGGCGCGUAGGCGGCCCACUAAGUCAGACGUGAAAUUCCCCGGCUUAACCUGGGAACUGCGUCUGAUACUGGAGGGCUUGAGUAUGGGAGAGGGAUGUAGAAUUCCAGGUGUAGCGGUGAAAUGCGUAGAUAUCUGGAGGAAUACCGGUGGCGAAGGCGGCAUCCUGGACCAUUACUGACGCUGAGGCGCGAAAGCUAGGGGAGCAAACGGG
rnacentral:rRNA from 1 species